rnacentral:snRNA from 1 species
CUACAUAACCUACCCACUUUAGACUAUCUGCAAAGGAUACGAUACAUAGAAUAUUAUCAUGGCCCCUACGCAAGGAUGACAUGCACAAAUCAAGAAAUGGUCCAAUUUUUU